GUUCAGGGAUGAGACACUGAGGAACAGCCUCUUCAAGCUUUGCACCCGCCCUGCCAGGCCAGCAGCACCUCGGCUGGGCUCUCCAGGCAGCUCGGUGGGCUCAGUUCCAUCGUGCUGCAGCUAAUGGAGGAGCAGGGCCUGUUCAGCACCUUCCACGAGCUUCUGAAAUCUCUGUGCCUAUCAGCAGCGGUGGAAGAGGAUGCGGACAAGACAGCUGUUUCUGUAUUCCUGACUUCCAUUUACAUUGGAGACAUGUGGCUUGGAGCACAGGAGCCGAUAUGUUAAUUACCAUGUCAGAUUGAUCUGCACUAGUGCAGAUUAUGAGUUACAGGCUGACUCAGACACUCGGAAACAAGGGGAAGAAACCGUUACGUCUCUUUGCAAAAAAAUUUGGCUCCAUCAGGGCAUUAAUUCAGGGGACUAACACUUCACUUUUAACAUUCUGCUCUGCUCUGUCCUCAUCACCGUGAGUGCCGCUGGAGCUGUUCUCAUAUAGACCUACCUUGUUUGGGUGCAAACUCGGGGAAGAUUUGAUUCAACAUCUCUCAGUGGCACAUUAAAGCUCCGAUUUCCCUUUUCUUGAACAGUUCGAGAGACAAUAUUACUUAUGUAAUUUUUAUUUAUAGGCAUUUUUAUCUUUUUUGAAGAACCAAAGACUGUUUGUGCAUGUGUGUGUCCUUAAUAUCCAUCCUCUCCCUAAUACAGAAUGGGGAAAAAAGGCUGCAGAGCUUCCUACACUGGGGUGUAAUUGCAAAGAACCAGGAGACAGCACCAUGAUUUACUGUUUCUUGGAGAGCCUGGUUGGUUUCAUGAUACCAAAACCAGUAUGAAUAGAAGACUGGACUUGGGAAUCAGGACAGUCUUCUUGGGUUAAAAAGCUUGAAUGGCACUUCAAGACAUUUAUGUCAGACCUGGUUUAUUUUUAUUACCCUUUUUUUUAAUAAAAAAAAAAAGCCCUGA